rnacentral:ncRNA from 1 species
UAUCUUUGCGGCGCUUAAAAUAUGCAUACAUAACAAUCAUUAAAUAAUAUUAGCAUG